UGUAUGAGAGUACAGAACUAGUUAGACUCUGUUUACUCAAUAGUAUGGAGUGUAACUUAAUACUGUUUGCAAACAGUAUAAUUACACAAUAGUAUGAUGUCAUCAACACUAUAACAUGCAUAGUGCUAGUUAGUCUCAAUAGCAUGAUGCAUCAUUUCCUGUUGCUCUAGCUUGUCUGACAUGGCAGAACCUCUUAAUGGAGUGUGUGUAGCAUGUAAAGAAGAUAGUACUGUGUACAAUGUCGUCUUAUUUGAGUGUAUGGAGUAUCAUUGUCUAUGUGACUCUUGUAUGAACUCUGAUGAAUUAAAAGGCUGUCCUAUUCACAAAUUUUCAAAGAGAAGAACAAGUUCCAGAAAAUUUUAAUUGUUUUGAUGAAUUAUUUCAUUACAUGAUAUAUAGAUUUAUAUAAAAAUCAA